rnacentral:rRNA from 1 species
AGGGUGUAACGCUGCGGGCUUGGUGUUGGGGGUCCUUUGAGGGCGCCCAGUGCCGGAGAGAAGUUGUUAAGCCUGCUGCUUGGGGAGUACGUCCGCAAGGAUGAAACUUAAAGGAAUUGGCGGGGGAGCACAACAACGGGUGGAGCUUGCGGUUUAAUUGGAUUCAACGCCGGAAAUCUUACCGGGACCGACAGCAACAUGAAGGCCAAGCUGAAGACUUUGCCGGAUUAGCUGAGAGGAGGUGCAUGGCGUAGUCGUG